rnacentral:rRNA from 1 species
CGCCCUUAGAGUUUGAUCCUGGCUCAGGAUGAACGCUGGCGGCGUGCCUAAUACAUGCAAGUCGAACGAAUCUCUUUUAGAGAUGAGUGGCGAACGGGUGAGUAAUACAUAGGUAACCUGCCCCUGUGCGGGGGAUAACAGGAGGAAACUCCUGCUAAUACCGCAUAGCCAUGAGCACCGCAUGGAGCUCAUGCCAAAUAUCCUUUAUGGGAUAGCGCAGGGAUGGACCUAUGGCGCAUUAGCUGGUUGGCGGGGCAACGGCCCACCAAGGCAACGAUGCGUAGCCGGCCUGAGAGGGCGGACGGCCACAUUGGGACUGAGACACGGCCCAGACUCCUACGGGAGGCAGCAGUAGGGAAUUUUCGGCAAUGGGGGAAACCCUGACCGAGCAACGCCGCGUGAGCGAAGAAGGCCUUCGGGUCGUAAAGCUCUGUUGUAAAGGAAGAACGGCGCAUACAGGAAAUGGUAUGCGAGUGACGGUACUUUACCAGAAAGCCACGGCUAACUACGUGCCAGCAGCCGCGGUAAUACGUAGGUGGCGAGCGUUAUCCGGAAUCAUUGGGCGUAAAGAGGGAGCAGGCGGCCGCAAGGGUCUGUGGUGAAAGACCGAAGCUAAACUUCGGUAAGCCAUGGAAACCGGGCGGCUAGAGUGCGGAAGAGGAUCGUGGAAUUCCAUGUGUAGCGGUGAAAUGCGUAGAUAUAUGGAGGAACACCAGUGGCGAAGGCGACGGUCUGGGCCGCAACUGACGCUCAUUCCCGAAAGCGUGGGGAGCAAAUAGGAUUAGAUACCCUAGUAGUCCACGCCGUAAACGAUGGUCACUAAGUGUCGGGGGUCAAACCCCGGUGCUGCAGUCAACGCAA